AAAAUUAAAGAAGAUUUCCGUAUUUUAGNNUAUUCAGAGGAACCUGUCCUAUAAUCGAUGAUCCNCGAUUUAUUNUCCUUAUUUUAUAAGUUUGCAUAUCGCCGUANAUUGAAUGUCCUUUAAGGGAUUUAAACAUUCAAGAGGUUUUUAUUUGUGAAAUUAAAUCAGGUCAAGAUGUAGCUAAUAAAUAAGAAGAGAUGGGUUACAAUAAAUUUAUUUAUAACGGAUUAAUAUAUGAAAUUUAUUAUAAAGGUGGAUUUGAGGGUAAUUUUAUAUAAAUUUNUANAAUGAUUCUAGCUCUAAAAUAUGUACACAUCGCCC
rnacentral:rRNA from 1 species